AAGACGCCGAGAAUGUGACAUGAAGAACAGACAAUCUACUGGUCAACCACACAAACACACGCAGUUCAUCUACUGCAAAGAUUGCACUCUUAGAGGACAAACAGGAUGUCACAGAAGCUAAUCAAGGUCAAGACUGCAGCCCAGCAGUGUUUAUGCAUGGGAAGGUACUAAGAGACCAGAUAUAGUGAUUAUUUGCCUCAGAAAACUUUCCAGUCAACCACAAAUGAUCUGCAGAAGGGAAGUUCCCAGCCCCCAGCAGGAGAGCUGCUGUUGUUCUACUGCCUAGAGACCCUGUGUUCAUCAACCUGAGCAUCUCAGAGGAAACCGCCGAGACCAGGUGUCUUUAUCCAUCUCACCCUGAGAACCAGCUGUCUUUAUUCACCGUGAGCCUGAGAUCUCUACUCCCUCUCAUUGCCUCUUUCAGAUCGGUGUUCCUACCCCAAUUCCUGCCCUCAGGUGACUCUCAACGAAAUGAGUUCUACUUUCAACACUGAAAGGCAAACAUCAAGGUCCUGCCACCUUCUAUCUCUAUUGCCACGGACAAGUCUUAGACACGAAAGAUGCUUGCGACACACUGGAGAGGUCAAAGACGUUGUGCUUUAAGUCAGAUGUUGUAGCCCAUACUCCUGCUCCCUCACCACCUCCUAUGCCAGCACAAGAUCAGAUUGGACCCUGGAAUGGAAUGGCAGCUCCACAGAAGUGUGCAGAUGCGUUCGCUCUUUCCUCUCUAGUCACAUCUCACGAUCCACAGUGAUUUCCACCGUUACUCAUGAAUCCCAAGCAUGCUAUCAUCUUCUGCUUAACUUCACAUCAUUGGCUUCUCAAAAUGUACCACUUAAGACUCAUACUUAGCAAGAGUUUUCCCUUCCAAAAGUUAUCCACAGAACCUGGCCUUACUGUAUAAACAUGCACAAUCAGGGAUGCUCGUUCCAGGCUUUUAUAGGAAUGAAUCAACGAUGCAACAGCAGGGGAAACGGCAGGCAUAGUAGGAGCUAUCUACACACCAAAACACAGGCUAGCUAUUUCUAGAGUUAGUUGGUUUCUAUGUUUCAACAGGAAAAUGGCACAAAUUGCAAUAAUCAAAGAGAGAGAGAAAAAUAAAGGACACUGCCAUAAUUCUGAAAAUCAGUUAUCGGUUUUAAAUUAUGUUAUUUUUGUUGCCAUUUUCAUUAGACAAAUAUUCUUCUGCUACCCAUCUUCUUCUUUUUAAUAGGAAAGCAAUCUGGAGGUCCUGUGUCAGUUUUGAAAUGUGGAAUGUAAGGUUAUAUAGAUUUUUACGCUGUGUCAUAUUUUCCCAUAAUUUUUGAGCAUCUAAGAAUAAACACGUACUCUGACUGUCAAAAAGGAAGGAAAAUAGAGGUGGACUCACUUGUGAAGAGCAGAUGAGGAUACCUCCCUGUUCUGGACACUGGUCUUCCUUCUAUGAAUACAUGAGAUGCUAGAGGAGCCAUCUGAAGUUUAGUAUGGGUUUGCAUCAGUUUGUGGGUGGAGAGGGAGUAGCUAAGUACCUUCCAUGAAGCUGCUAGCUGCCCCCUCCAGGUUUCCCAAGCCCUCAUAUAAUGGAAUGUCUACAGAUAGCAAUUUUUUCUAACACUCAUAGUUUUUCAGGUGUCUUGUGUAAAAAAUAUGACAAGAGCAGGAUUGCAGACUUUAGUCUUUAGAAUAAGUCACAGUGUAAAUAAGACUCUCAUUUAGGUCCAAUCGCUUAAUUCUAACACCUUUAAAAGGAUGGAGCUUUUUCCUUUCAUCUUUUGAGGAUGAACACCCAGGAAGACAUACAGAUAUUUCUAAGAAAUCGAAUGGGAAACAAGGAAAAAGAUAACCUUCUGUACCAUGGAAUGUUCAUUAGUGGGCCUUUGUUUAUUGGCACUUUAAUAUAAAGUACAGCAUCAGUUUCAUAGGAUCUAAUCAUUUUUCUUAGAUUGCAAAUCAUUCAUUUUACAAGUAGGUCCACCUCUCUUCUAGUUCAUACCAUGGAACAGGGGAAAAAGACGCAGAUAAUGCAGACUGAAUGGACAAUGUCUGUGUCAUGCUUCUAUCGAGAGCUGACUUCCAAUCGUAACCGCAAAUAUUGCUCAGCCAGCAAAUCUGUGGCCUCAUGAAUUUGGAAGUCAAAUGUUCUCUGAAGCAGAGGGAAUCACGCCAGGACUCCAUAUGGCACGGUCUGCUGCUCUGUGGUAGGGACGUCGCAAACUGCUGGAAGGAGUUCUACUCCUUUCUCAAGCCUGGUGCCUUCUCACCACAUUCUAAUGGUGCUUUACUGCCAGUGGUUCACACAGAAAUUCAUUAACCGUGGAACGGGAAUAACAAGCUGUUCACCGCCUUUACUGCACAGGUGCUGUAGAAAGCAAAACAUAAAAGUGGGCGUGUGUCUUUGAAACGCCUGAGCUUCAUAGGAGGGUUUCUUUUCCACGGAGGGAAUGACUGUUUUGGGAUCGGUUUGCUUAUCAUGUAGCUUGGAAUGGAAAUAAAUAAAAUAUGUAUUACUAGUGUCAGAAAGAAAAUAUGGGGAAUAGGGUGCAAUGGGCAGAGAAGAAAAGCAUUAAUAGUUACAAAGUCGACUGUUUGUGUAAACCAUGAUGUUUGAGUUUCAGUAACCACAUGCUACUGUCUGAGCUUUUGCACCUUAUGAACACAUGUUUCUAUAUACAUUUAUAUAUUAAACAUUGUUAUGAAAACAAAUUUAAGAAUAUUUGAGUCAAGAGUUGAGGAUAAUUUCAUGGUAAAAUGGUAAUGUCUUGUUUGAGAUUUCUAACAUGCUCAAUAAAUAACAAUUUUAAAAACAUCCUGGAUUUAGAGGCAGUUAUCUAUUUAAAAAGUAAAAUGCAUUUUCUCUUCACAUUUAUGUAGUAUAUUAUAAGCUACCACACUAUAUAGGAUAUAAAAGCAUUCCAGAAUAUCGGUAAAAUGUCUUAGAAUCAAAGAGCAUAUUUCAGAUUAGCUCAUUCAUCAGAAUUUCUAGGAAGAAAUGAUCAUUUUGGUACCAGGAGAUGGCUCACAGCUUUUGCCAUACAGCCCAAAGACCUGAUUUCCAUCACCAGAAUAUCCUGGAAACCUAUAUAAAACCCAGAUGUGAUUCACACAUCUGUAUUCACAGC